GACGAACGCUGGCUGCGUGCUUAACACAUGCAAGUCGAACGCUGAAGCCGGGUGCUUGCACCUGGUGGAUGAGUGGCGAACGGGUGAGUAACACGUGAGUAACCUGCCCCUGAUUUCGGGAUAAGCCUGGGAAACCGGGUCUAAUACCGGAUACGACCGGAGAAGGCAUCUUCUCUGGUGGAAAGUUUUUUCGAUCGGGGAUGGGCUCGCGGCCUAUCAGCUUGUUGGUGGGGUAAUGGCCCACCAAGGCGACGACGGGUAGCCGGCCUGAGAGGGCGACCGGCCACACUGGGACUGAGACACGGCCCAGACUCCUACGGGAGGCAGCAGUGGGGAAUAUUGCACAAUGGGGGAAACCCUGAUGCAGCGACGCAGCGUGCGGGAUGACGGCCUUCGGGUUGUAAACCGCUUUCAGCAGGGAAGAAGCCGUAAGGUGACGGUACCUGCAGAAGAAGUACCGGCUAACUACGUGCCAGCCGCCGCAGUAACAC
rnacentral:rRNA from 1 species